UAGGGAAUCUUCGGCAAUGGGGGCAACCCUGACCGAGCAACGCCGCGUGAGUGAAGAAGGUUUUCGGAUCGUAAAGCUCUGUUGUAAGUCAAGAACGAGUGUGAGAGUGGAAAGUUCACACUGUGACGGUAGCUUACCAGAAAGGGGCGGCUAACUACGUGCCAGCAGCCGCGGUAAUACGUAGGUCCCGAGCGUUGUCCGGAUUUAUUGGGCGUAAAGCGAGCGCAGGCGGUUUGAUAAGUCUGAAGUUAAAGGCUGUGGCUCAACCAUAGUUCGCUUUGGAAACUAUCAAACUUGAGUGCAGAAGGGGAGAGUGGAAUUCCAUGUGUAGCGGUGAAAUGCGUAGAUAUAUGGAGGAACACCGGUGGCGAAAGCGGCUCUCUGGUCUGUAACUGACGCUGAGGCUCGAAAGCGUGGGGAGCGAACAGGAUUAGAUACCCUGGUAGUCCACGCCGUAAACGAUGAGUGCUAGGUGUUGGAUCCUUUCCGGGAUUCAGUGCCGCAGCUAACGCAUUAAGCACUCCGCCUGGGGAGUACGACCGCAAGGUUG
rnacentral:rRNA from 1 species